UCUAUUAUAUCGGAGGAAGAUGUGCACUCCUUGAUACGUCGAGUGCGCCUUGACUAAACGUAGGGCAUGUACAACGCGUCUUUUGGCCCCGUCUCCGUGAUGACAUAUUUGUGAAAAGAACCCUGCCAAUGCCAAGAGACGGAGCCGUCGUCGUCUCACGAGACGACGAGGAGAGCUCGUGGCCCGAGGUCGAGUCGCCAGCUCCAGCACCGUUGUAUGGUGCCUCGCCGGUCCCUUGGUCUCGCGGAUCCCAUGCGCGCACAAGGUUCAGUUUGGGUGCGCCCCAAACUGUCGAGUGGCAAAGCCUCGUCCGCAUCUAGGAAGAGCAAGGGUGCCUCACCGGCGGCGGCGGCGGCGCCUCAUAUCCUUCCUCCGCCCAACCGUCGCGAGCUGCACCGUAGGCUCCGCCCUGGCCGCCGCGAGACGUGCGGGCCAGCUCCGCCGCGCCGUAGGUUGCGCAUGGGCGAGCUCUGCCCUGGCCACCAUGAGAGCUGUGAGCUGAAGCUUGCCAGUUAAUUUUCUGCUGCUUUUUUCAUCAAUGGCUGCACAAACAGGACGAUGAGGACGAGCCGAAGAGGAGGAGGCGGAGGUGGAGGUGGAGAGCCCGGUCGCCAUCGAGCAGCAUUUUCAGUUUUCAAACUUCAGGUUCUGCAGCUUUGUAUGAUGGACGAUGGAGUGGAAGCUCCUAGUAGCUACCUGAUCAAUUGAAAAAGAACUUGUACUGUAUUUCCUCCUAGCUGUUUGCAUUCGAUGAGAAUCUGAUGCUAGUUCGAAUGUACAUGUACCCUCGUGUUGAAUAUGUGCUUUCGUGUUGCCUGCAUGAACAUGUUCCUGAUUUGAACAUGCUGCUUGUAUUGUGAGUUCAGUCUUGUUUAUUUGUUUAAACCACGACAAGAGUUGUGUUUCAGCACUAAUUUAUGGAAAACUGAAUGACAGUUGAACUAA